rnacentral:tRNA from 1 species
GGCGGCGUAGCUCAGUUGGUCAGAGCACACGGUUCAUACCCGUGGCGUCAGUGGUUCGAAUCCACUCGCCGCUACCA